GACUUCUACUCAUCUAACUCUAACCCUUUUCCUGAAUUGCCUCAGUUAGGAGCACAUUUGUGCUAUGGUCUCACUAUGUAAUCUGGUGGUGGUUUAGUCGAAAGAGAAGUGAGGACAAUUUCACUCACUUAAGAUCUCUGUUGUCCUCUUUCCAUAAGCUUUGUGAAAGAGUGUCAAGACACUUGGAGAAGCAGCAUGUGUCAGAUGAAUAUGGGCCUCAGUUUUGUAUUUAGUAUUUUCCUACAACAGCCAUCAACAAACAGCAUCAAGACACCAAUAAUACAGAUUCAGGCCUGGAUAUUUGUAGGAGGAUGAGUGCCGGACUUCAAGACAAGCAGAAUGAGAGGACUGGAGUUCUUUGUGUUCCUGCUCAACACCACCAGCAGCAGUACAGACAUUCCACAUUGUUGUCAAAGGGCUUCAGCACUGAUUACCUCUCAGGAAGAGUAACCAAAAGCAUCUGCGUGAACAGGGCAAGCAGAGUGGAGCUUCUCCUGGGGAUGCAGCUCCUGUGCCAUGUUUCUGCUGCUACAUGGUCCCUCCUCCAGCCCAACUUUUCCCAGCAUUGAUGGACCCUCUUUUCCUCCUCUGAGACAAGGAUAUUUUGGCUCCAAGAGCAGCUCGAAAAGCCCACAGAGCUUCUGCAAAUAGCCAGGAGCUGCAAGAAGUUACCCCACCAACCCCCCCGCAACACAUGCCUUCCAGUACUUAUACAUAAGCCCUUGCCACACAGGGUAUCUUCCUCCGUAAAAGAUGCAUUCAUCAUGUUUAGAGAAGGGUUAUCUCCCUCUGGAAAGAACAUGCAUUAGUACUUUUUACUCAUUCAACACUGGACACUCCCUAUCAACAACAGCCUGCCGAAAGGGGAGAAAGAGGAGAAUUAAUCAUGGAAAGAGACAAUUUAAAGGAGUUUGGCUAUAAAAUGGAGUUCAUUAGGAGGCCAUAAUGUAUUUGGGACUAACAAGGUGCAAUUUCCCCACCUCUGCUGGCCCAGUCAACAAUAAGCAGCACUAAUUGCAUUGACACCACGUCGCAGGAUGGCCACCUAUACCCUCUUUUAACUCCUUCCAUGGAGCAGUCGCACAAAAACUCCUUAUCUCCUUGGAUUGAGAGAAAACAGUGUUAAGUGGUCUGCAGUUUUCACUCUGGAGCUAAGGUUGUAAUAAUAAGCAUGUUACUUGGCUCCAAGAUUGCAUUUAGAGAGAUCUCAAAGCACAUUACAAAUGCAUAUGGCACAGACAGCGUAUCGCUAUAGGCACAGAACCAAGUAACCACAGUUGGGAACACAGCACAAAGAACUUUUUUCCAUCCAUCCUCCAGGACAUGACAGUGUCCAUUUCCCCCUGCUUUUCUGGUUUGGCUUGUUAAAAAAAAUAUAUUAUGUUGGCUAAUAAUUCUUUUUUUUCUGGGCUUUAGAUUUCUCUCUAUUUUUGUUUCAUGUUAGUAUUAUGCAAAACAGCCUAUACAAAGCACUAUUGAAAACACUGGCACUUUAGAGGAUUGGGUCCAGGACAAAGAGAGAGGUAAACCACAGAUUGAAAUACACAAGUGACCCAAGUUUGUGCAGUGCUGCACGUCUGGACUUCUUUUGAUUAAGACAGAACAAGCCAAUUUUUUCUAAGGCUAAACUACAUUUCAGUUGUUGUUGGGACGUUAGCUGGUGACCUUAGCUCUAUGCUGCACACUAGAAUCUAAUACAAACCAAAUAUUUCAUUUGGGAAGCUUUUGUUGCUCAUCAGCUGCAGAGGUACCACAGGAGGCAACUUAGCCAUGGGGAACUAUGUGCUCUCCCAUCGCCUAAGUGCUUUCUCCAGAGAGGGUUGUGUUCUUGCUAUUACAAGGGUGAAAAGAAAGGCAUUGCCAGCCGGCCUGCAGGUUUAGGAGUAGGUAACCUCAAGAAGGAGGACAAGCAACUGGGAAACAUUUUGCUACGAGUAAGAUAAAUGAUGGAAGCAACUUGCAGCGUACAAAUAGCAUUUCUUGUUUCCAUUGAUACUACCAGUUUAAAAAUGCAAAUAAAAAAAAACACCUGGGGAUUCAUUUUCAUGCU